rnacentral:rRNA from 1 species
GGGGGGGGGGGGGGGGGGGCGGGGGGGGGGCGGGGGGGGGGGGGGGGCGGGUGCGGGCGGCUGGCGGGGAGUGGCGAAGGGGGGAGGAGGGGGUCGGACGGGGGCGUGUGGUGGGGGGUAGGGCGGCGAGAGGCGGAUGAAGACCGCAUAGUAUCUACGGAUGAACGCGGGGGACUUCCGUGCCUCAGGCGAGAGGGUUGGCCGAUGUCUGGUUAGCUAGUUGUGGGGGUAAGGGCCUACGAAGUCGACGAUCAUGAGCUGGUCUGAGAGGACGACCAGCAAGCCUGUGACUGAGACACGGCCCAUACUCCUACGGGAGGCAGCAGUGGGGAAUUUUGGGCAAUGGGGGAAAGCCUGAUCCAGCAAUGCCGCGUGUGUGAAGAAGGCCUUCGGGUUGUAAAGCACUUUUGUCCGGAAAGAAAUCCUUGGCCCUAAUACGGUCGGGGGAUGACGGUACCGGAAGAAUAAGCACCGGCUAACUACGUG